rnacentral:lncRNA from 1 species
CAGAAUCCCCAACAUCCCCCUGGGAUCUUGAAGAAGGAUGAAAAUUUCUUAUCUUUUGGACUUUUCUAUUUUUCUAUGGAGAGGGAUGGUUUCAUCUGAAAGGAGGUGAAGAGUUUCAGGAAAUGAUGGCAUUGUGAAGAAAGACAAAAGGCAUCAAUUAGUUCUGUUAAAAAAUUAAACAAGUGGUCUAAAUUGGAUGACAUCCAAGUUUUAAAUCUAAUGAGAAUCCUUUGAGUAGCUAUAGCCACAGAGUAAUAAAAUGAAGUGAAGGAAGGACCUAGAUUCA